UUCAUGCUAGAGAAACCGGGAUAAGCUCCGGCCUGAUGGGCCACUUGGCUCGUAUGCAGACUUCACUUACUUAUUAUGGUGCCUUGGAGUGUCUAAUCUUAUGUAGACAGCAAUUUAAUGUUACGUAUCAGUCUUCAUAAGUACAUAUAAUUUUUAUCUUUAAGUCCCAAUUUAUAAAAAAAAAAAAGAAAAGGAUGUGUCUGCCACGGGGCGUACAGUAAUGUUACGAUCCUGAUAUAGGCUUCUUCAUAAGUACAUUUAAUUUUAAUCUUUCAGCACCAGUUUGAAAAAAUGAGGAUGUGUCUACUAAUGAGCGUACAGUAAUGUUAAGAUUCUUCUAGAGGCAAAUUGAUAUAGUAGUUGUAAAUCUUGUUUGUGGGAGAGGCAAUAAACAAUGAGUUGGUUUAUUUUUAAUUUUAGGAUUCUGUUCUGUAAGAACAUGCCUUGCUGGUGUGUAUAUUCAUUGAUGGUGGACAUUUUCUGUAGACAGUUCUUCAUAUGUAUACAUGUAUAAAUUAUGUAAUCUAUCUAUAUAUUUAUGUAGGCUAUCAAACAAAAGUGAAGGUGCAGUUUUGUAACUCUGAACCCGAUUUUCAGCGGCUGUUACGUUUCAAUCUUUGGGGUGCAACACCAGCAAAGCCUGAGUUGGCAUUCACUCUAGAUUUGAUGAAGCUACUACACACCCUGAAUCUUGAGUGUUAAGUAGCUGUUAAAGACUUCUGUGCUGUCCUUGAGAUCCUGACAGAUGAUGUUAUCGUCUUUUCAAACCAAAGAAAGCUAUAUCCAGUGGUCAUAGACAGUCUUGAAGAAUUUAGACUCAGGGUACCCUUCUUGAAUCCAUGGAUGCCUUGUUUAUUGGCCG